CCUGGACCACACGCCUUGGGAGAAGUCAGCCACUACGUUGUGAGGACAUGGGGACAGAGGUGGUGAGGCCUACGUGGUGAAGGUCUGAGGCCUCCUGCCAACAGCUGAUGACUGAGCUGCUGCGGAAGCUGACCCUCCACACUCCCUAGGCUCGGUGGCCAGCCCCUUUGCUGGGGUCAGAGCCACAUUCCCAUCUUGCUCCAGGAUGGAUCGCCGGUUCCUUGAAUCCAACACAUGCAACACUGAGCAUGUCACAUCCUCCAGGCCUGCUCCUUCUCAUCUACUCUGGCUCAAACCUGAGGACCCGUCAGACCCUCUCUCCCACUCGUGCCACAUCCAGACAGCACCGGGCCCUGCUGACAUUCUGCUCUCUGUGUCCCUUACAUUUGUCACCUGAUUUCGACUCUCACUGCAACCGGCACUCAUCUGUACCUGGGAAGGGCCACCUCGCCUCUGCCGGUAACCCAACAAGGCCCCAGCUGGCGUCCCAGCUUCCAGAAACCAUCUACCACAGGGCAAGGCUGUGCUUUAAUCAUCUUGGUAACCCAAGUGCUGAUCAGCGAACCAAAUACACACAGAAAUACCUUGCGCCCUGGUUGCUUUUCUGUGCUAGAAUCACUCCAGACUUCAAUCAUCAGCCUGCUACAAGCCACUCCCAAGCCUGGGACUUAAUCGCCAGCAGAAAGCACGUCCACAUGUCCUCUGUUACCUCCUCUAGAUGCUAAGGAAUGUGACUCCAAGAAGAUUCAAAUAGCAGGAUCCUACAGCGUUCUGCCAUCAUCUUAUUCAACAAAAGUCUUCUGUCGGACAAAGACCCAUUCAUAUUUCAUUAUGAAGAUAAGCAUUUUAUGGACAAAUUAUACAGCAAUAUUAAAAUAUACCUGAAACAAUAUCCCAGAUAAUGGAGUUAAUGGCUUUAAUUCGCUAUCACAUGUUUAGAGAGUUCUUGUGUAGACACAAGCUAUGAACUAUGAGAAGGCAGAAGAAAAGUCUAUGCAGAUAUACAGAAGGCUAAAAGACAUACCCUAGAUCCAUCCUGCUCACAGGGGAUUCCACGUCCCAGGGAAGGCGGGGAGGGGUCCCUCCUCCUAAGUCUCCAGAACCUGCCUUCAUGAACGCUGAGAUCAUCUGGAGGGGACCAGACCAGCCCGGGCUGGACCAGGAAAGCCAAGAAUUGUUGCCUUCCCAUAUUCCACAUUCCCAUAUGCCUUCCCAAUGUCCUCUUCCCAAAGAACCCCUGUAUCCUACAUGUUCUAGCACAAGCCUAGAGACAAAUUCUGCCUUGGGUGGGAAUUGGGGUAGCUUAGAAAAGAGUGCCACAUUGGAGGUAACAGAGGAGCUGGUUUUGAGGGACGUGUAGAAGUCCACCAGCUGUUGAAGAUGAGGCCAGGCGUCCUCAGAGGAGAGAACAGAAAGUGCCAAGGCCAGGGGCAGCGGUAAGGAGCACACGGCACACUGGGGAAGAGUCAAAUGCUGGAGCCCAGGGUGUGGGCGGAGCGGUGGGAGAUGAGGACACCCAGAUGGCUUGGGGUCAGGUUCUGAAGAAUGUUGGGUACUAGGCUCGAGUUUGGACUCUAUGGUGGGGGAAAUAGAGAGCCCCUGACAGUCUUUAAAGAGGGGAGAGAUGGAUCAGGCCUGUAGCAUUUCCUCAGGGAGGUUAUAAAGCAGAUACAGAGGUACAGACACAUCUUCUGUGCUUAUUUAUGUCAUGGGGCCUUUGCACAUAGUUGGAGCCAUGAUUUACAUAGCUGUGCUUCCCCAUAGCACUUCCCAUGGUUCACUGCACGCAGCUAACACUCAGCCUAUGUUUGUGGAAUAAAUGAAUGAAAGAGUCAUUAUUAUCAAGUCUCUCCUACAAUCAAGGAUAUACUCCAGUGACUGAUUAUAGCUGCCAAGGCUAUAUGGGCAAUGAACUAAAAACAUUACUCCAACAUGAGAAAGAGGAAUCAGAAAAGCCACGGUGAAUGCUCCAGCUCUGCCAACCACCAUCAGCCCAAGGGGAGAAUGAACACCCAGGGAAAAGAAAAUCGCCAAAACCUUACAGUGAAAUCCUAUCAACACCUUUGAUUUGGUGUCUGUAUCUUUCCUGACUGAUG
ensembl:lncRNA novel transcript